GCUAAAUCCAACAUCUGAAUCAUCUCAGAGUUGGUCUCUGUUGUUUGUCUUUUCUCUCGAGAAAGAGUCAUAUUUUUCUAGUACUUCAAAUGGUCAAGCUAAUUUACUCCCAUGUGAGUGAGUCCAGUGUGCUUGUCGUGAAUGACAGCUGGGCCCUGAUGGAUGUCAAGUGGUUGCAAGAGCUCCAAGGCAGGAACCUUCUUCUAGGCAAAAGCAACCUAAGACGUUGUCCACAGAUGCCUACAGGAGAAAAUCCAAAUUCCUUAACAUGGGUACAUACCUCCUUCACAAGUUUGCACUGUAUCCUGCUUCAGCAUCAUUUUUUUUGCCAAACCCGACUUGCACUCCCAUUCUCCAGCCACACCAAGCUAUUUGCCAAAUGGGCCCAGUGUUUAUAAACCUCAGCCUGGAAUGUCCUUCCAUGCCCUGGUUAACGCUUACUCAUGUUACACGACCCAACUGAAGCUCUUCUUGGCCCUCCACACCUUUUUGUGGAGUGCUGUGUCUCCUGCUUUGUGGCCCUCUGUACCUGUAAAUACUUCCAU
rnacentral:lncRNA from 1 species